rnacentral:rRNA from 1 species
GCAAGUCGGACGCUUCACCGGUUUCGGCUGGUGGGGAGUGGCGCACGGGUGAGUAGCGCGUGGGAACCUGCCCUGUUGUGGGGGAUAACCGAGGGAAACUUCGGCUAAUACCGCAUGCGCCCCCGGACUUGUUCCGGGGGGAAAGAUUUAUCGCAGCAGGAGGGGCCCGCGUCGGAUUAGGUAGUUGGCGGGGUAACGGCCCACCAAGCCUUUGAUCCGUAGCUGGUCUGAGAGGAUGAUCAGCCACACUGGGACUGAGACACGGCCCAGACUCCUACGGGAGGCAGCAGUGGGGAAUAUUGGACAAUGGGCGCAAGCCUGAUCCAGCAAUGCCGCGUGAGUGAUGAAGGCCUUCGGGUUGUAAAGCUCUUUCGCCCGCGACGAUUAUGACGGUAGCGGGAGAAGAAGCCCCGGCUAACUUCGUGCCAGCAGCCGCGGUAAUACGAAGGGGGCGAGCGUUGUUCGGAAUCACUGGGCGUAAAGGGCGCGUANGCGGCCCUCCUAGUCGCGUGUGAAAGCCCCGGGCUCAAC